rnacentral:rRNA from 1 species
CUUUUUUGGUUAGUGGCGCACGGGUGAGUAAUAUAUAGCUAACCUGCCCUUUAGUGGGGGACAACAGUUGGAAACGACUGCUAAUACCCCAUACUCCUUUAUACCUUAUGGUGUAUCGGGAAAGAUUUAUCGCUAAAGGAUGGGGCUUUAUGGUAUCAGAUAGUUGGUGGGGUAAUGGCCUACCAAGUCUAUGACGCCUAGCUGGUCUGAGAGGAUGAUCAGCCACACUGGAACUGAGACACGGUCCAGACUCC